rnacentral:rRNA from 1 species
GAUGAACGCUGGCGGCGUGCCUAAUACAUGCAAGUAGAACGCUGAAGGAGGAGCUUGCUCUUCUGGAUGAGUUGCGAACGGGUGAGUAACGCGUAGGUAACCUGCCUGGUAGCGGGGGAUAACUAUUGGAAACGAUAGCUAAUACCGCAUGACAACAGUUAUUGCAUGAUAACUGUUUAAAAGGGGCAACUGCUCCACUACCAGAUGGACCUGCGUUGUAUUAGCUAGUUGGUGAGGUAACGGCUCACCAAGGCGACGUUACAUAGCCGACCUGAGAGGGUGAUCGGCCACACUGGGACUGAGACACGGCCCAGACUCCUACGGGAGGCAGCAGUAGGGAAUCUUCGGCAAUGGACGGAAGUCUGACCGAGCAACGCCGCGUGAGUGAAGAAGGUUUUCGGAUCGUAAAGCUCUGUUGUAAGAGAAGAACGAGUGUGAGAGUGGAAAGUUCACACUGUGACGGUAUCUUACCAGAAAGGGACGGCUAACUACGUG